rnacentral:tRNA from 1 species
ACAUCCAGCUGACGGAGGCGCCCAACUCAUAAUUGGCGAAUUCGUAGGUUCAAUUCCUACUGGAUGCA